GGCUUUGUGGUGCAGUGGUAGCAUUCACGCUUCGGAUGUGUGAGGUCCCGGGUUCAAGCCCCGGCAAAGCCC